GGAAGACCCAGAGCUGAUCGCAGCAGCAAUCCUUCUACCAAAGUUUAAAACUGGCUCGACUGAGAGGACUGAUAUCAUAGAAGCAGGUCUAGUCUAUGUCAGACAACACCUUGACCGGAUGGUAGAGGCUGGGGUGGAGCAAGUUGGACAACAUUCAUCAGAUGAAGUCUUCAUACAACCCGGGACAAAAUGCUGACUCCCCCUCUCUAGUGGGCUCUCCCCAGAUACAGCCAAUAAAUGCACAGUCACAGAGU